rnacentral:rRNA from 1 species
AACUUAAAUGAAUUGACGGGGCCCGCACAAGCGGUGGAGCAUGUGGUUUAAUUCGAAGCAACGCGAAGAACCUUACCAGGUCUUGACAUCCCCUGACAACCCGAGAGAUCGGGCGUUCCCCUUCGGGGGACAGGGUGACAGGUGGUGCAUGGUUGUCGUCAGCUCGUGUCGUGAGAUGUUGGGUUAAGUCCCGCAACGAGCGCAACCCUCGACCUUAGUUGCCAGCAUUCGGUUGGGCACUCUAGCGAGACUGCCGGUAAUAAACCGGAGGAAGGUGGGGAUGACGUCAAAUCAUCAUGCCCCUUAUGACCUGGGCUACACACGUGCUACAAUGGUUGGUACAACGAGUUGCGAGUCGGUGACGGCGAGCUAAUCUCUUAAAGCCAAUCUCAGUUCGGAUUGUAGGCUGCAACUCGCCUACAUGAAGUCGGAAUCGCUAGUAAUCGCGGAUCAGCACGCCGCGGUGAAUACGUUCCCGGGCCUU